AAUUUGUUUCUUCCUUGAAAAUUUUGAGUGGCAACCUCUACAGCUUUUCCUUGGAAGAAUUCGAACAAAGAAGCUUCUUCUCUUUCUUGGAAAUUCAGACACCUAUUGUUCUUCCCUGGGAGAAUUUAAGUAGCCCUUCCAGAAGAUAGAGAUCUUCCCUCUCUUUCAUCGAAAAGUCUCAUCUACUUAUUAUAGCUUCUCUUCAAGAAGCAUUGUUGCUGCCCAUAUUCUUAUAGAAUUUUAGAAGGUGUAGGUCCUUAUUGAGGGCUAUUAGAUAGCCCCUUGUGAAGGGGUAAAUGGGCAGUCCUUUUCUCAUAUUUGAGGAAGACAUUUCGAUCGUCUCGACGAAAAAUGAUACUUGAUCUCUAGUGCGAUCAAGUGUUGGAAAGAGGACUCCGAUCGUGGACCAGAUUAGAUGAAGAAAGUAUGAGCUCGUGACAAUCAAUGAAAAGUUAUUUCUCUGCAGCUAGAAUAGUUGGAGUCAUCCCCAAAUACAAGUUGUUUGGAAGGUUGCUGUAUUAAUGUUACACAUCAUGCAGAUAAGCACAGAAAAUGGAGUUGCGAAAACAGCAAACAAGAUGCAUGGAAGAACAUUAUUCUACACAUUCUAUCAACUGUUACCUCCAUCUUCGGGGAUGUCAGAAGUCCAUAAGGUAAGAUUAUCUCUUAAUAAUUGCAUGAUCAAAGUACUAUCUUUGUAUGAUUCUUCACUC